GAUGAACGCUAGCGGCAGGCCUAACACAUGCAAGUCGAGGGAGGAGCUUUCGGGCUUCGACCGGCGUACGGGUGCGUAACGCGUAUACAAUCUGCCUUUCACAUAGGGAUAGCCCGAAGAAAUUUGGAUUAAUACCUAAUGGUAUAUAGGAGUGGCAUCACCUUUAUAUUAAAGCUGAGGCGGUGAAAGAUGAGUAUGCGUUCUAUUAGCUAGUUGGAGAGGUAACGGCUCCCCAAGGCGACGAUAGAUAGGGGUUCUGAGAGGGAUAUCCCCCACACUGGUACUGAGAUACGGACCAGACUCCUACGGGAGGCAGCAGUGAGGAAUAGUGGACAAUGGUCGGAAGACUGAUCCAGCCAUGCCGCGUGCAGGAAGACGGCCUUAUGGGUUGUAAACUGCUUUUGCAGGGGAAGAAUAAGGAGUACGUGUACUUUGAUGACGGUACUCUGCGAAUAAGCAUCGGCUAACUCCGUG
rnacentral:rRNA from 1 species